GAACGACUUCUGAAAACUCUUUUAUAAAUAUAAACACACUUCCUUGUCCCACUUAAGGUGUUACACUUCCCUGUGUGAUGAAUUGGAAGAAAGUUUUUUAAGAUGUCAAACAUUGUUUAUUUAGUAACAUUGGUAAGUAACAACAAUUAAUGAGUAAUACAUAGCAUUUCAUAAUUUUUCAAGUAUUUGUUGCAUACGUAUGUCUCUGUUAUGGUUAAAUAUUAUCACUUUUUCUAACCCGAACGAUCUGGCUCGUCUGUUAAAUGUGUUGGACAAAAUAUUUGUUACCCAAACAAACAAGAAACCUUUUCAUCUGCUUGUGACACAGGCACUUGUUUCUAUCCAUUGGAAGACCCACUAUCAACGUAUAAAUAUACUUUGAUAGUGGGUCUUCCAAUGGAUAGAAACAAGUGCCUGUGGCUUGUGACUUUCUACAGAAUUUGCAGGGCGCGAUCCAGCCAUUUAUUAAAGGGGGUUCCAAAUAUAAUACACCUUAUCGCUAUUUGUCCGCCAUUGCUGGAUAUCACACAGGUUCCCGUAAAAUGUUGACGUCAUAAAACAAAAUAUCUGACGCCACAAUAGAAAUGUGAUUGUUGUUGACGUCAAAAGUUCAAGCGGCUGGGUCAGCCAGGAUUAGCGAUAAGGUGUAUAUAUAUGUCCCUAUUCAAAAGCACUGAUCGUCAAAAAAUGAUGGGGAUUCUUACCCCAAGACCCCCCUCCUUGAUCCGCCACUAGAUUGAGGAUUGAUGAAGAUCCUCAUUAAAUAUAAUAAGAUGAGUACUAUUCCAAGUUAUGGGUAUACACCUUUAUCAUGUUUACCGCUAUCUGUCCACCAUUACUGGAUAUCACACAGGUUCCCGUAAAAUUUUGACGUCAUAAAACAAAAUAUCUGACGCCACAGUGGAAAAGUGAUUGUUGUAUGCGUAAAAAGUUGAAGUGGCCGGGUCAGCCAGGAUUAGCUACAAGGCUUAUAAUAAUAAUAAGGUGUAUUAUACAUAAUGCGUACAUGUAUGUCCCAAAACAUACAUGUCUGCCAUUACUGGACAUUUCAAAGGUUCCCAUAAAAUGUUAACGUCACAAUAGAAAAUGUCUGAAGCCACAAGGGAGGAGAGAUUGUUGUAUGACAUAAAUAGUUCAACCGGCACAGAUUCUAGGGUCUACCGAUGCAGAUUUCCAAAAAGCAAUAAGGUGCAUAUCUUAUUAAAUGUAGCUUGUCAGGUUAAAAGUAGAAUAUAAAAUAAUAAAAAUACAUUCACACGUAUUCGCAGGUAGAAAUUUAACUUUUAAAAAUUGUCUACAUUCACAGCUUGAAAGGUUGUCUUGAUAUUUUAACGUCAACAAAAGUAUUGGUCGACAUGUUGACAAAAAUAACUUUUACGAAAAAGUGUCUACAUACCGAAGUUGACAGGUCGACAAGUUGACAGACUAAUGUAUUUUAUAAUAAUUAUUAAAAGAGACAUGUAUUAAUUAAUUGUAUUAAUAAAAUUUGAUAGAAAUUGACAAUUUCACUGAAGAAGUUUGAAACAUUUAGAUUAUUGUUUACUAAAAUACAGGUGAUGUGUUUUAAAAAGUAGUAAUUGGUAGUGGUGUUCUGAUGAUAGAUUGUAAUUGAAAAAGUAAAAAAAAUAAAAUGUAUGAUUUAUCUGAAAUGUGCUACCACUUUUGAUUCCUGUUACUGGUCCAAGGACACAGUUAUCGUCCUUUGGUUUUCGUUGUCUACAAAUACAGUCCCUAGUGUAAAGAGUGUAUAACUUGCAUGUUUAAUUGAUACACUUUCCCAAUUUGUUUCUUGAUAUCAAAUGCAUGAAAUAUACGUAGGGGGAUGUAAUUACAUGUCAAAAAAAUUUGGGUGCUGAAUCUUUAUGUUAAGUAGUGAUUUGGUCCAGUUCAAAAAGGUCAAAUUUUAUCACGUCUGAAGCUGUCAAACUGAAUUUUACACCCCCUUAACACAGAAUUGUCAAUAUUUUGAGUUAGAGCUGGUAGAAGUUUAUAUAAUUUUGAUAUUAUUUGUCUCACUGCUAGUACACUCCACUGUCAUCAUGACAGUGGAGUGUACUGACAGUGUCAUGACUGUAAAAAUCUUUUUGAGAAAGAGCAGGUGCGAUUUUUUUAAUUUGAAUUUAUUGUCUAAAAGAAAUGCACUACGAAAUACUGUGUUCUCGGGCCUACUGGUGAUGUUAUCAAGUAACUUAGUUAAAUGUUUUGUUUCAUAUCUCAAUAAAACAUUUGUAAAAUGUACAUCGACCUAUAAUGGUUUACUUUUAUAAAUUGUUAUUUGGAUGGAGAGUUGUCUCAUUGGCACUCACAUCACAUCUUCCUAUAUCUAUAUAUAUAUAUUAUUAUAAUAUUUUUAAAUAAUUUGACCCUAAAAUGGUGUAAAGAGGGAAUAUGUUAAACAUGUUAAAACAUGAGAUAAAAUAGUAUGUACUACACAAUCAACAAUGUCUGGGGCGUACAAAAUGUAGCUCCAUAUACGCUGUCACGCCAUGGCGUGCACAUCGCGGGGUCUAAAAAAUUAUUUACGCAGAAAAAUAAAAUAAAAAUACAAACGAGUAAAAAAUAUUAAAUCUAACUUAACCAAGCAAAGUAGAAAACGAUACAGUAUAACUAUUUUAAUAACGUCACAAUAUUAUUUCCGUCUAUAAAAUCAACCCUGACCGAAAUCGUUUUUAAUUUAUUUGCGAGAAUUUUCUUCUGGUACUCGCCGUAAAAAAGCAGCGUAUGAAACAUGAACAGUACAAAGCGUGACAAGCCUAAAGGGCAAACGUUAGACAUUUUUUUCUCUCACAAAAACGCCCACCAACAGUGAUAGUCAUGCAGAAACACACCCAGCAACAAAUCAGGACAAUUUUUUUUGAAACGUCAAAAAUUGACGAUGAUUGAACUUAGCUUAAGUGCCACAUCAGUGUUAUGUCAAAGCCAGUACAAAAUAAUCUGGGACCAUCUUAUCCAGAUAUUUCUUUGUUGAAAGAUUCGAAAUCCUUAUAAUUAGGAAAAGAUGUAAAGUUACAACUUUUGCCCGACAAAUGGAAAGAUGUCCACACCUUCAAAUUGCCGACAAGGUAUAUUAACUCCAUUUCAAUUAAAAAAAAUAUAAUGCGCGUUGUUGAACUAACAGGGCUGCAGGGGUUGUAAACCCACGUUUUUGUUUAGAUAAGGGUUGUAAAUUUCGUACAUUAUUUUGGCAAAAAAAUUACCAAUUGACUUUUGUUCCAUUUUUAUCUCUCAACUUUGGUUCCGACCCUGAACAAUUUAAUGAAUUACAGUAAACUUUAUAUGAGUUUGACUGUCCCUAAAUUUGGUAUCUUUCGCCCCUCUUUUAUAUGUAAAUUACGAUAAUGGUAAAUACAAAUCUGAAUUCCCUCUUUAAAUUUUGUUUUGAAGGGCUACUUAAUAUUGUUCUGUUUUGACACCUUCCUGUCGAAAUAUUAAGGCGUCAACGCAUUAAAAAUAAAAUAAAACAUCCUUUCAAGACUUCAUCAAGUUCCGCAGUACUAGUCCGUUACUGAAAUGUUGCGUUCCGAGCAAAAUGAUGAUAAUGUUUGAAACGAGCUACUAGUAUACCAAACCACUCUAGAUAUAGCAGAGCUUUUUGGUAUAGUUGAAAAUGUUCCUAGGUGGUGUGGAAGACAAACCUCGAGAGCUAACCAUCCAGCCGAAACACCUAAAGAUUACUGGCGAAUUUCUCUCUACUAUCCGUUUCUGGAUCAUAUGAUCACAGAACUUGAUUCUCGACUUCUGAAUUCAGAAAACUGUUUUCAUGCACAAUAUCUUCUUCCGUGUGUGGUCGAACAAAUAACUAAUGACCAAUUGACCAAUACUGUGUGUUCUAACAAUGCCCUUUGUUAGUGCUACAGCUGAAAAGUCGUUUAGCGCCGGUACUGAAACGUUUGAAAACGUACAUCCGUUCAACAAUGAGAAAUGACAGAUUAUCGGCUUUGGGUUCCACCGUGAUUUUGAGGUCAAUUUAGACAAGGCCAUGGACGUUUUUGUUGCAGCUCUAAAAAUACGAAGGGCAGAUUUUUAUAAAUAUUCAGGAUGUUUCUCAAUAAAAAAUGAUUAAAUACAGUCUUAAUAAUUUGCUAAUUAAACCAAUUUUAGGCCGUCAGAACGCACCAUUUUGCGUCUAGCCAAAAUAAAAAUCCGGGGGGGAUGGCAAUCCCCCCAACCCCCCCUCUGGUUGGCGUGCACUUCAAAGGGACCCAGCUACGCCCCAGAAUGUUGUUAGCUAUAUACAUGUAGUAUAUUUAAAGAAUUAUAUUUACAAAUAUAUUUGAAAAUCCAUAUAUAUAUAUAUAUAUCACAUGGGUUGUUUGACAUUGCUAAGGUUCCAGUUACUAUGGUUACAUUAUAUUGUAACAUGUAAAAGGACCAGACUUUGCCAAUGAGAAUGUUCAUAAUCAUGCAAAUGUUUCCUAUAGCAUGUACAUGUAUAGUAUGUCUAUUGAUCUCAUUUGCAUGGUUCAGUGCCUACUAAAGAUAUAUUUUAAUGUUUAUUUCUCUUUUAUUAUAAGCUAGUUAAAGGAUACCUAUCUGUACCUUGCAAGGCCUCAUUCCUGUCAGACAGUUUUCACUUGACCUUGACCUCAUUUCAUUGAUCAGUGAACAAGGUUAAGUUUUUGAGCUCAAUUCCAUAUCUCAGUCAUUGUCAGUUUAACAUGUUGAAUACUACAUGUAUAUUAAGCAAUUAAUGUAGGUCUACUGUAUUUGUUGUAUGUAAUGAUUGUAAGGCGUACAUCAAAUGAGUGUUUAAUACAGUUUCUUUUGAUACAUAAUGAGUUAGAGUAGAUGUUUUAUCAUGUUUAUUGUUAUAAACAAAAUUUGAUUUAGUAGAAAGUAUGAGACUAGUCCUAUAAACAUGAUAGAUUAUUAUAAUUUACUGUGGCCAAUAAAAAAGAAACAAUACAUUUAUAUUUUGUAUCAAUAUAACGUACCAACUUACAAUAAUUGAUUUGUGACAGGAAAUCUAAGUUGAUAAAAACUUGUAAAAACAGUCAUAAACAUGAUAAAUUGUACAUUUAUAUUUUAUACAAUGCACCAGAAUCUGACCCACAAAUCAUGAUAAAUACUGUUUUGUAUUACACUAUGUUUUUUUUAAUAAUUAUAAAAUUCUGAUUUUUAGCUCACCUGGCCCGAAGGGCCAAGUGAGCUUUUCCCAUCACUUGGCGUCCGUCAUCCGUCGUCGACCAUCGUCGUUAACUUUUACAAAAAUCUUCUCCUCUGAAACUACUGGGCCAAAUUAAACCAAACUUGGCCACAAUCAUCAUUAGGGAAUUUAGUUUAAAAAAUGUGUGGCGUGACCCGGCCAACCAACCAAGCUGGCCGCCAUGGCUAAAAAUAGAACAUAGGGGUAAAAUGCAGUUUUUGGCUUAUAACUCAAAAACCAAAGCAUUUAGAGCAAAUCUGACAUGGGGGUAAAAUUGUUUAUCAGGUCAAGAUCUAUCUGCCCUGAUGUUUUCAGAUGAAUUGGACAACCCGUUGUUGGGUUGCUGCCCCUGAAUUGGUAAUUUUAAGGAAAUUUUGCCGUUUUUGGUUAUUAUCUUGAAUAUCAUUAUAGAUAGAGAUAAACUGUAAACAGCAAUAAUGUUCAGCAAAGUAAGAUUUACAAAUAAGUCAGCAUGACCAAAAUGGUCAGUUGACCCCUUAAGGAGUUAUUGCCCUUUAUAGUUAAUUUUUAACCAUUUUUCAUAAAUUUUUGUAAAUUUUUAGAAAAUAUUUUCCACUGGGCCAAGUUCAUUAUAGAUAGAGAUAAUUGUAGCAACAAGAAUGUUCAGUAAAGUAGGAUCUAUAAACACAUCACUAUCACCAAAACACAAUUAUGUCAUGAAUUUAUCCGUGUCCAUUGUUUAAUAUGCACAAGACCAAGGUGAGCGACACAGGCUCUUUAGAGCCUCUAGUUUAUUUUGCUAGUGUUCAUUUUUUUUAAAUAAAAAUUAAAGAAACUAUUCAAAUGAUUAAUUAUGAAUUAUGCUUUAUCAGACCAAUCUUAUCUUCAUUUGUAACCUCAGUAUGCUCAGUGUCAAUAUAUAUUUAUAUAUAUAAAUAUAAAACCUUUCUUUUUCCUCAUUUGUCUUACAUUUAUUACAAUGCAAAUCAAAAUCAGUUGACCAUACCUGCAUAAUGUGCAUCUAAUAUCUAUGUUAAAAGAUUCUUCAAUAUUAAGGAUGUUCGCUUGUCAUGUUUUGGGAUUUUUGUCAGAUUUCCGGAAUCCUCUGGUUUUAUCCAUUUGAAUGCCUUAAAAAAAUUUGAAAUUUGCCCAUUGACCCCCAUUUUUCUUUUUAUAAAUCUUUUAUAUGUAUGAUUAUAAACCAUCUGUAAAAGUCUUAUAAAAUCGUUGUUAUUUUUUAAUAGUUUUUGAGAGCUUUAACUUGUUAAUGAUAAAGCAAUGAAAAAUCAAGAGAUCAUUUUCCCGCCAAAGUUUCAAAGGCUAAUAUCUCGAAAACAAGCACAUUGACCUAUAUUUAUGUUUUGCUUUUUUAGUUCCUUUAUUAAACCCCUAUCAAUAUAUACUAGUGUUAUGACAAGCUUGUUAUUUUGAAACUGAGUAGAGAACUUCCUUAAAUGGUUAUAAUAUAUAUCUGUAUAUGUAUAUAUCUGUAUUAUAACAACUCAUCUAAACAUCAACCCAACAAUGUUAGAUCUGUAAAUUUGCUUUCGCAAAUAUUUAGUUCUUCCCUCGGUGGGAUUUGAACCCAUGCUACUGAGAUAUCGUGACACCAAAUCGCCUGCACUGUAUAAUCCGGUGCGCUAGACCACAUGACCACCUUGGCUUCACAAAAAUUGAGCUGAUCUGUAACAAUAACAUCUCCAUGCCUUAUAUAUAUCAUGUACUGUAUUACGACGCUAGAUUAAAACUGAUGAGGAAAGGUAACACCCGGCCACUGAAAGCUUUAUUUUUAUAUAUAUCAUGUAUAUAGUAUAUACAUGUAUAUACUAAAAAAGAAUAUGAAUUAUCUCCCUUUGUGAUUGAAACUUGAAUAACGGUUCUCACUGCGACUUUUAGAUGAAGAACAGCAAUUAUUGCCCUGUUCCUUUGCUUUAAGUGUGUUUUUAGCUGUGCAUGUACUGAUUUUGUGUCAUGAACAGACACCCUAUGUUUUGUAUACAUUUUGUACUUGGUUGAUUAUCUAUGUAUUAGGGACAAUGGAUAAUACAAUUAUUAUUUAUUUACUUGUACAAGUGAAUUAUUUUGAAGGUAGAGAUAAUGUCCCUUAAACAUUCAAGACUGUUUAAUUUAUUUCAAUUAAAAUGUCAUUUCUCUAAGUUUUUGAAGGCCGUACUUUAACCAUAUGAUAAUGGCUUACUUUUAUGAAUUGUGACUUGGAUGGAGAGUUGUCUCAUUGGCACUCAUACCACAUCUUCCUAUUUCUACUUAUAAAAUUAUGAUUUCAUGGACAAACAGGACAAUGAAAAUCUCAUGUGUCUUAUUUUAAAAUGCAUACAUUUAUACUGCUCAUCUACAAGCCUCUCUCGUCCAGAUAAAAAUUGAAAAAUAGAAGUUUAUGUGAUACUUGCCCUAAAAUCUUUUCUAAAAUUCUUUCAAUGUAUAUUCAAUAAAAAUGGGUAAAAACAGGUUAGAAAGUUUAGGAUAUAUACCGUAUAGGGGGUUAUCAUGGUUAUUUUCACGAGGUGUAAAUUUUCGCUUAUUUUCACAGGAAGAAAAAAAUGGCCAAAAUAAAUUCUGCCAAUUUAAAAGUGUACAUGCAAAGGAAUUGAUAAAAGUUUUGAAUCCCCCAAAAUAAUAACUGCCAAAAUAAUUCGUAUACUUAUUCAAUAAAAAUCCUGAAAUUUUAUACUCGCGAAAUAACCCCCUAAAAUACAAUAUAUCAUGUUUAAUAAUCUGUGUCAAAAUUUCAAGCUUUUAAAAAGUCUUGAAAAUUGGUAGUAUAAUAAUAACAUAAUGAACUGAUUAAAUAGCAGAAAUUUAGAAGGGUUCAUGUCCUUGUUUGCUAUUAAACAAACAAAAAUAAUUAAAAUUUAUGGGGAAAUAAUUUUCUGUAGAUAUUUCAACCAUUUAACAUUGGCACCUUUUGUCUAUCAAAAACUAUGAAAACAUAUGUAACAACAAUUUUGUAAGAAGCAAACUUAAGGAUAGAGACAUACUUUUAAUUCAAUUUUAGAAAUAAAAGCAUCAAAAUGAUGCUGAUCAAGUAUUCAAUUUAAGAUUGCAAUUUUGUCAUUUAUUGGCAAUUUUAAAUGAUAAAAAAGGAACAGGGAAAAUGUUAAAUCAAAUUUCCACAGAUGUUAUUUAGUUAAGACAAUACUUUCCUUUUAGAUAAGACCACAGUAAAUAUUAAUGACUAUGGUAACAAUCAAAUGACAAAGCUAAAAAAUAUUUGGUUUUUAAGUGACCUGUUUUUUUAAAAGAGUCAACACACUCGUCAAUGUCUGUCAUUUUUGUCGAGCCUUCGACUUUAGUCGAAAAAGCGAGACUAAGCGAUCCUACAUUCCGUCGUCGGCGGCGUCAACAAAUAUUCACUCUGUGGUUAAAGUUUUUGAAAUUUUAAUAACUUUCUUAAACUAUACUGGAUUUCUACCAAACUUUGACAGAAGCUUGUUUAUGAUCAUAAGAUAGUAUCCAGAAGUAAAUUUUGUAAAAAUAAAAUUCCAUUUUUUCUGUAUUUUACUAUAAAUGGACUUAGUUUUUUCUGCGGGGAAACAAAACAUUCACUCUGUGGUUAAAGUUUUUAGAAUUUUAAUAACUUUCUCCAACUAUCCUGGGUUUGUAUCAAACUUGGACAGAAGCUGGUUUAUGAUCAUAAGAUAGUAUCCAGAAGUAAAUUUUGUAAAAAUAAAAUUCCAUUUUGUCGGUAUUUUACUUAUAAAUGGACUUAGUUUUUUCUGCGGGGAAACAUUACAUUCACUCUGUGGUUAAAGUUUUUAAAAUUUUAAUAACUUUCUUAAACUAUCCUGGAUUUGUACCAAACUUGGACAGAAGCUUAUUUAUGAUCAUAAGAUUGUAUCCAGAAGUAAAGUUUGUAAAAAGAUUACUCCGUUUUUUCUGUAAUUUACUUUUAAAUGGACUUAGAUUUUCUUACAAUCAUAAAAGAGUAACAAGAGGAAUAUUUUAUUGAUUUUUUUUCCUCAUUAUUGUUGAGCCUGCGAUUUACAGCAAAAAUAGGCGAGACACUGGGUUCCGCGGAACCCUUACAAAUUUUUUAUCUAAGGAAUGACAGUAAUAUUUUUUCUCUCUAUGAAGAAAAAACAUCAAAAAGAAGUGUGAACCACAUUUUUUAUGUUAUUUCAUACAGACAUAAAAAAUAUUAUUGUCAUUCCUUGUAAUUUAAUUCUAAAUUCCAUUUUAAACCGAAGUAAAUCAUGAAAAUACCUUGAUGACGUCACUGUCACAUGACAAAACUAUGUCUAUGAGCUGAUAAACAAAAUAACAUCAGCCAAUCAGAAGACAUGUUACAUCCAAAAUUCAAUUAUGGAAAGAUAUCAUUCAUCAUGUGCAUGUUGUUAUCUUCAACAAUUGUAUAUGAAUAAAAGGAGAUUUGCAGUACACAUCAAUGAGAUACAUUUUAACAACCCAAAUUGGGCCAAUGAGUCAAUGACUGAAUAUUUCAUAAAGCAACAUGCAACCUUCAACAAUAGACAUGCACUUAAUCAUUUUGAGUCCAUCGAUCAAGAUAGAACUUAGAGUUUCGUUCCAUAACAAUGAUUUUUAACCGGUAGGGUACUAUGCAAUACUCAAAGAAUGCUUGUUUAAAAUCAUUAAGUUAAAAGCUGUAAGUUGGAUAAAAUAUAUGAAAUAUUAAUAUCUUCCUACUGUCUGUUAACAUCAAAACUUGACUCCUUAAAGUGACUUAAGAUAGACAAAUACCUGUACCUUGGCAUUGCACAAGGUCAACGGUUUUCUCUGACUGUAUUAUGACAUCUUUACUUUGAAUCUAUUGGAUGUUGGAUGUGUACAUGAUUUUUUAUGCAGUUAAGCUGCAUUAUGCGAGCACCCUAGAUUUGUGUUCUACCCAAUAAAUGCUGAAAUACUUGCCAUUGUUAUUAUCUAGCUGGCUACUAUGUUCAUACCUGCCAACUUUCACGAUUUAGGCGUGUACUACACGAUUUUGACCCUUUGUCACGAUUGCACGAUCGUGUUCCUGAAAAACCCUCUAAAACACGAUUUGGUGAAAAUCUACACGAAAAAUAUUGUUGUUCCCGAUUUUGAACUGUGUCCAAUGGAGGAAAAUCGUGUUCAGCCAAUCAAAUUGUGUGUUUCUCAUGAUCAAAUUAAUCAGCCAAUCAAAAACGUUUUCUCUCAAGAUUAUUUUAACAUGCUAGAUAUUGAACUUGUGUUGUAUUCCUCUGUUUGUUGGUCAGAAUUGUAAAAACGUGAACAUGGCAAAUGAUUUUUCAACUGCAAGGAGGUUCUUACACAGAAUAAGAAUAAAAGCAUGGCUGAUUGACAAACUUCAAUGAUGCAGUACUACCAUGAAUAUAAUAAAUAGUAGUUUAUUCACUAAUUUAUUGACAUUACAUGUACACUUGCUGUAACAUAAUUUCAUUUAUGUAUUCAAUCAUUUAAAGUAUAAUGUACUAUUCAUUAUUUUUCACAUGGACCCCCUCCCCCCCCCACAUCAACAUUAGAAAUCCCUUAAAUGAAGGACUACCCUUAGUCAAAGGGGUCACUCUUGUAAAAAAUAAAAUAGAAAAAUGUAGAUUUAUUAACUUAAAAAUGGGAAAUUCUGACAUUAUAUUUGGAACAGCUUUUCCAAAUGAAGAGUCCUAUUAUUUUGAAUAAUAAAGAAGAUAUAAGACCAAGAACAUACCAAAAUUCUUGGACAUGUGUUGACCAUAUAAUACCAGAUAGAUCAUAAGAUGUAUAGUAAUUCAACGAUCAUUUAAGUUUUUUCUGGUCAUAUUUUUUGUAAUCCAGAAUUAAAAGUAUUAAAAAAUUAUGUUAUAUAACUAAUUGAACACAUUUUUAAUACUUUUAAUUCUGGAUUACAAAAAAUAUGACCAGAAAAAACUUAAAUGAUCGUUGAAUUACCCAAAAAUUUUGAAGUUGCACAUAGGAAGUAGUGCUAAUUAGGAAUCCCUGUGUAGUUUAUUAUGGCCUGUGCUUUUGGCUUUGAUGUCAAAGAACAAUUGUACUAAAUAUUUAAUUGCUGAAAAUCUUAAGACAAGUAGUUUAGAUUUCCCAAAUGGCAAAAGUCGUAGGAAUAUUGUUUGUCAUCAAUACGUAGUACAACUACGUCAGUAGUCUAUUAUAUAAUAAGUUCAACUGUUCAUGCUGUUGGCGAAAUUUUAAAUUAGAACACGAGGAAAUUUUCGUUUCAAUUUGGAGGCAGGGGUUCAAAUUAGCGGUGGUCCGAGGUCCGCGACCUGACAUGUUUGCAAGCGGAAUAUGGAGAUGGUUUUUAGAUACGCCCGACAUACAUGUAGUCACCUUCCACUUGAAAGAAACUAAGAAAUAACUUUGCAAACCAUUUCACCAAAGUCUCCAAAGAAACGAUCUCAAAACUUAUUUUCAUCAUUAUUAUUCAUUACAGCGAUUUAACCACUAGCUUUAUACAGAAAAUCGCCGACAAAUAAUGUAUUAAUUCGAGUAAAAUUGUAUCUGACUGACAAAAACAACAUUGUAAACACAAUAACAAUGUCUGCCGUGAAGACAACAUUUUACAAUAUUGAAUCCGAUUCCGGAAGCGGAUAAGGGUAAUUCAGGGUUUUGGCGAUCAGCUACAAAAAAAUCCUGGCAGGUGACAAAAUACAUCUAUACAUGGGAAAUGAAUAUAAAGAUAUACAUAGAAUUGAAAACCAAAAGAUAUAUGUAAAAGAAAGGAAAAGCAGAAAAUAUUUAUACAGAAACUUAAAAUUACUUUUUGACAAAUUUUGAUUUCAAAUCCAAUACAGGUAUAGCUCAAUACAUUGUGACAGCUGGGAACAAUAUAUAUGUUCAUGCCGAUCGUCACAGUAUCAAUUUUCUUUAUCAGUGAUAAAUGAUGAUAAUGCAUUUAAGAUGCUUUUAAAGUGUAAACAUAUUACUGCAAUUUUGAAGGGUUAUUUUUUCUCAAUUCUGAAGGGUCAAUUAAAGUAGCUGGGAGUUUUAUACAGCUUUAUUUACACAUAACUAUAUUAUAUAAUACCUGAAUGUAAGCAAAUCAUAUGAUAUAUAGGUGGCAUCCUUUGGGCCACGCUACCCUCACCUGUUAAUAACUUUGAAACGGUCGAGAUCUCUGUCAGACCCUAAACCAUAUAUUUGAGUAUAGGACAAUAUGAUAAAUCAAAUGAAAUAUAGGGGAGUCCCUGUGGUCACUGUACACCCUUCUGUUUGAGAACUUGGAAAUGUCGAGAUCCCCACCCCUAAACCAUAUAUACUCAUGUAUUUUACUAUAUAACAAAUCAAAUGAAAUAUAGGUUGAGUCCCUGUGUUGUUUGAUAAGAUAGAAACUGAUGUGAUCCCAACCCCUUAACCUUACAUACUAAUGCAGGGGAUAAUAUAACUAAUCAAAUGAAAUAUAGGGGGAGUCCCUGGGGUCACUUGCCCUUUCCUGUUUGGGAACUUAUGAAACGGUCGAGAUCCCAACCCCUAAACCACAUAUAUUCAAGUAUGGGACAAUAUAAUAAAUCAAAUAAAAUAUGGGGGUAUUCCCUGGAGCCACCCCAACCCCUCCUGUUUGAGAACUUGAAAACGGUCGAGAUUCCCACCCCUUAACCAUAUUCCAUAUAGGGAGAGUUGCUGGGGGUCACCCCACCCCUCCUGUUUUAGAAUUUGUAAACGGUCGAGACUCCCACCCCUAAACCAUAUAUAUUCAUGUAUGGGACAAUCUAACAAAUCAGAUGAAAUAUAGGGGAAGUCCCUUGGGUCACCCCACUACUUCCUGUUUGAGAAUUUAAAAACCAUUGUGAUCCCCACCCCUUAACCAUAUAUUCAUUUGUAUAUUCAUGUAUGAGACAAUAUAACAAUUCAAAUAAAAUACAGGGGGAGUCCCUGGGGUCACCAUACACUCUCCUGUUUUGAGAACUUGUAAAUGGUGAAGAUCCUCACCCCUAAACCAUAUAUACUCAUGCAUGGGACAAUGUAACAAAUCAAAUGAAAUAUAGAGGGAGUCCUUGUGGUCAGCCCACCUCUCCUGUUUGAGAAUAUGGAAACGGUUGAGAUCCCCACCCCUAAACAAUAUAUAUUCAUGUAUGGGUCAAUAUAACUAACUAAAUGAAAUAUAGGGGGAGUCCCUGGGGUCAACCUACCCCCUCUUGUUUGAGAACCUGGAAACCGAUGAGAUCCCCACCCCUAAACCAUAUAUAUUCAUGUAUGGGACAAUAUAACAAAUCAAAUAAAAUGUAGGGGAAGUCCCUGGGGUCACCCUAUCCCUUCCUGUUCAGAACUUGAAAACCUUUGCGUUUCCAACCCCUAAACCAUAUAUAUUCAUGUAUGGGACAAAAUAACAAAUCAUUUAAUUACAUUUACUAUGGGCAGGUCAGUCAGACCACACCUUUGAUCCCUGUAGUUAAGUGAUCAUUUGUCUGAUUCAUGUCUCACAACUUUUGUACUAUAGAACACAAACUCGGUUUUCUUUCCGGGGAAACAAGUCCAUUCAUACUAUUACAUGUUCGUACUAAGUCAAUUGUACUACUAGCAGUCAACUUAAACCAACGUUAACUACCAAGUAGAACAACUGCAAUAAUAGGAACUUGUACCACUGCAGACUCACCAUAAAAAAUAUAUAUUGAUAUAUGCAUUACUUUUGAAACCUUGAUAACAUAUAAAUUAUUUGCCUUAAUAAUUAACUCAUUAGAUAAACAAUAAAUGUAAUAUAUAUGAAUGUUUAAUGUCGAAGCAACAUUGCCACAGUUUUCAUAAUUACGUUUGCCUUGGUUUUUGGUUAACUGCCUUCAGCGCUUACAGCGCUUUGAUUCUAUUAAAGUCCUUGAAAUGAGGUCCUGGUUAAACUCAUAAGAAAAAAGUUACAGUUACCAAAACAUUUUCACAACUUCUGCCACUGCUCCCUUCUGUUGCUACCACCCCUUAUAAUGCUGCCGCCCCCUUUGCUGCUGCCACUCCGUCUGUCAAUGAUUAACCCCUCUAAAAAAGAUAUAAAUGAUACAAAUCUUCAUCUGGUAAAAAUUAUGCCAUACUAUGUGACAUAAUUCAGUCCCUUUGAUGUUUUACUUCCUGUUGUCAGAAUAUUUUUUGAAUUAUUCAUUACAAGAUUAAAGGUUAUGAAGGUCAAUAACAUUGACCAAUGGAUAUAAUUUGAGAUUUAUUCAGAGAAACUAGUGUGGCAGAUUUUUCUUUUAUGGACAACUUCUCAUAUGAAAACUAUAUAGUCAAAGUACCAGGUUUUUAAACCAUGUCUAUGAAAAAUUAAGGAGUGCAAUUAUCUUUCUAACCAAAAUUUUGUAAACAUUGUGUGGCAUUUUUCAUUGAUUUCUAAAGCUACAAAAGUAGAAACAAAUACAUUGUUUAAUCAGUGUUUACUGACCCUGUUUGAACUUUUAAUAAUGCAUGCACAUGUUGUUUGUAAACAGACAUAUUACAUGCAAUAGUAGAAACAAAUACACCAAAAUAGAAACAAAUACAUUGUUUAAUCAUGUUAAUCAGGUUUAAGUUAGAAACAAAUGUAGCGUUAGUACACAUGUACUUAUAAACAAUGAACAACAAACUGUAAAUGCAUUUUUAGUGAGUGCAUAUAUAGUUUGUCUUUGUCAAAGUUUAUGUAAACGUUGCAAGUGUUUGUUAGUAACAAAUGAUCAAAACAUGUUUGUGCUUAGCUGUUUGUAUUGUACGUGUUAAAAAGAAAUGCACUCUUAGUUAUAUUUCACUGCAACUUUGACAUUUUAUAGAAAGUGAAGUAUUACAUAAGUUUGAUGUAUAUAUAUAAUAUAUGAUAAAUGGAAAGAGAUGUUACAUAGUUAUUGGUUUUCAUGCAAUAGUAUAACAUCAUUAGCAAUUAGGUCAAUUUAUUUAUGUCAUUCUAAGCAUUGAAAGAUACAAUUGUAACUGAAGCAGGCAAGGACUGUGUUUUAAGGAUGACAAAUGUGCAUACAUGUAUAUAGUUAAAGGCACCUGAUAAAGAUAAUUAGAUGUGGAUGAAAUAAAUUGUUUGUGUAUACCCAGAUCAGGAAGUAACUCAUGUUAUUGUUAUGCUAUGAUGCAUAUUAAUGUGAUUUUUAUCAUGUUUGUUACCUGAAUGAGGAAGUUUGCUUAUUUCUAUAAAAGCUUUAAUUAUUUUAUGUCUAGUGAUUUAAAAUUUUCAUUGACUGUGUAAAUAGGGUGACUUAGAUCUGUAGUAAACCAACAUACAUUUUAUAACAUCUUAAUCAAAUAUUCACUCUUUCUUAAAUCUGAUCCUUUAACAGGUUAACACUUUUCUAAAUGCAAUUAAUUCAUCUGUAGUUAUUUUUUGUUAUCAUGUUAAUAGAACAAUUAUAUCAAAUCGUAAUAAAUACUAGUAUACAUUUGGCCAAUGAACACUGUUAUUUUGUAGUGCAUUUUUUUUUAACAAUAAAUGCCAAUUAAAACAAAUCCAACCUGCAAUUUCUCAGUUAGAUUUUUACCAUGUUUACAGUGUUACAUGCUGUAGUGAACUUAACUUUUGGACCAAAUUAAAUCAAAAUUAUAAACAUGUCUACGAGUGGCAGGUUGUCAGGGUCUCUGUUUGUGGGAAAUAAAUAGUGAUUAUUUAAAGAAUCACAGAAACAUGACAUAAGUCAGCCCACUUUUUAUGCAAACCUUGCUCCCCACUUAUGAAAAUUUCUUGAUACUUCACUGGUUGUGUACAAAAAGGAAAGCCAUACAUUGAAAGUCAUGGUAAAAACUAAGUUCAACUGCAGUUUAAAAAGUUAUUAGAAAAUUUCUAACUUCAGUUGGCAUAAGCAUGCAGUGUUGCUGUCUCACUGACAUUUUUGAUUAAUGAAAGUCAUAUUAGUUUUUGUACGACCACAAAAAAAAUUUGGCGAUCAUAUAUUGGUAUCAGGUUAUUGUCGUCGUCGUCAGAUAUAUAUAUAAUAUAUAUAUAAAGAUUUAAGGGGGUAGACCUUGGUUCAGGGAGAUAACUCUUUAAAUCAGUUAUGCGUUUGUAACAGUCAAGUAUUGUCAAUGAAUUUUAAGCAUUUACCUGAAACAGAUUCGAAAUAAUCUUUGUAUCCUAGAAGCUUAGAACAUAUUUAUGAAAAUGGCUGACUCAAACGUACUGAUGAUUUUAAGAGUUAUUUCCCUUAACCUAGGUCUACCUCCUUAAACAAUUUGAUAAGAGUUUUUAGCUCACCUGGCCCAAAGGGCCAAGUGAGCUUUUCCCAUCACUUGGCGUCCGGCGUCCGUCAUCCGUCGUCGUCUGGCGUCGUUAACUUUUACAAAAAUCUUUCUCCUCUGAAACUACUGUGCCAAAUUACACCAACUGCAAAAAUAUCAUGGGGUAUCUAGUUUAAAAAAAAUGUGUCCGGUUGACCCGCCAACCAUCAAGAUGCCGCAUGCUAAAAAUGAACAUGCGUAAAAAUGCAGUUUUGGCUUAACUCAAAAACCAAAGCAUUUAGAGCAAAUCUGACAAUGGGGUAAACUUGUGUAACAGGUCAGAUCUAUCGCCCUAUUUUCAGAUAAAUCGGAUAACCUGUUGUGAGUUGCUGCCCUGAAUAAGCCCUAGCCUAUUUUAUAUAUCUUGAAUAUUAUUAUAGAUAGAGAUAAACUGUAAACAGCAAUAAUGUUCAGCAAAGUAAUAUUUACAAAUAAGUCAACAUGUUCGAAAUGGUAAGUUGACCCCUUUAGGAGUUAUUGCCCAUUAUAGUCAAUUUUUAACCCUUUUUUCGUAAAUCUUAGUAAUCUUUUACAAAAAUCUUCUCCUCUGAAACUACUUGGCCAAAUCAAUCCAAACUUGGCUACAACCAUCUUUGGGGUAUGUAGUUUGAAAAAUGUGUCCAGUGACCCAGCCAUCCAAUCAAGAUGGCCGCCAUGGCUAAAAAUAGAACCUUGGGUAAAAUGCAGUUUUUGGCUUAUAACUCAAAAACCAAAGCAUUUAGAGUAAAUCUGACAUGAGGUAAAUUUGUUUAUCAGGUCAAGCUCUACCUGCCCUGAAAUUUUCAGAUGAAUUGGAAAACCCGGUUUUGGGUUGCUGCCCCAGAAUAAUAAUUUUAAUGAAAUUGCUGUUUUUGGUUAAUUAUCUUGAAUAUUAUUAUAGAUAGAGAUAAACUGUAAACAGCAAUAAUUCAGAAAAAAGAUUACAAAUAAGUCAACAUGACCGAAAUGCGUCAGUUGACCCCUUUAGGAGUUAUUGCCCUUUAUAGUCAUUUUUAACCAUUUUUCGUAAAUCUUAGUAUUUUUUACAUCUUCUCCUCUGAACUACUGGCCAAUUACACCAAAACUUGGCCACAACAUCAUUGGGGUAUCUUGUUUAAAAAAUUGUGCGUGACCGGCCCAACCAAGAUGGCCGCCAUGGCUAAAAAUAGAAAUAGGGGGUAAAAUGGGGUUGGGCAUAACUCAAAAACCAAAGCAUAGAGCAAAUCGACAAGGAAAAUGUUACUGUCAAGAUCUAUCUGCCCGAAUUUUCAGAUAAAUCGGAUAACCUGUUGUUGGGUUGCUGCCCCUGAUUAGAAUUUUAAGGAAAUUUUGGCUGUUUUUGGUUAUUAUCUUGAAUAUUGUAUGAUAGAGAUAAACUGUAAACAGCAAUAAUGUUCAGCUAAGUAAGAUCUAAAUAGUCAACAUGACCAAAAUCGUCAGUGCCCCUAAGGAGUUAUUGCCCAUUUUAUUCAAUUUUUAACAAUUUCUAAAAAUUUGUAAAUUUUUACAAAAUAUUUUCACUGUAUCUAAAGGCCAAGUUUAUUAUAGAUAGAGAAAUUCUAAGUACAAGAAGUUCAGUAAAGUAAGAUCUACAAACACAUCACUAUCAGCAAAACACAAUUUUGUCAUGAAUCCAUCUGUAUCCUUUGUUUAAUAUGCACAUAGACCAAGGUGAGCGACACAGGCUCUUUAGAGCCUCUAGUUUUAUAUAGCUGUAAUAAAUAUUGCAAUAUUUUUUCUUUCCAGGUAUUACUGUUCUGUAUACUCUGUAUGCCAUGUGAUGCCGCUGUAGGUGAUACAAACUGUACCAUUAAUGCAAACUGUACAAUUAGUAAUUCAAAAUGUGACAAUACUACUAGUAAAUGUCAAUGUCUAGAUAACCACUAUGACAAUGAAACAACUUGUCAGCCAAG
rnacentral:lncRNA from 1 species